rnacentral:rRNA from 1 species
AACUUGCUUCUCAUGAUAACAUUUGAGUGAGUGGCGGACGGGUGAGUAACACGUGGGGAAAA